AUAAUACUCCCUCCGUCCGGAAAUACUUGUCUUAAGAAUGGAUGAAUCUAGACUUAUUUUAGUUAUAGAUACAUUCAUUAUAUCCAUUUUCAGGACAAGUAUUUCCGGGCGGAGGGGGUAGAUA
rfam:Hordeum vulgare subsp. vulgare, WGS project CAJW01000000 data, contig: morex_contig_238891